rnacentral:tRNA from 1 species
UUCACAAUAAAUAAAGGGAAGUGCGCCGGGAAAACCGGAGAUGCUGGUUCAAUUCCAGCUUGUGAAU